rnacentral:rRNA from 1 species
CGGAUUAGCGGCGGACGGGUGAGUAACACGUGGGUAACCUGCCUCAAAGAGGGGGAUAGCCUCCCGAAAGGGAGAUUAAUACCGCAUAACAUUAUCUUCUCGCAUGAGAAGAUAAUCAAAGGAGCAAUCCGCUUUGAGAUGGACCCGCGGCGCAUUAGCUAGUUGGUGAGGUAACGGCUCACCAAGGCGACGAUGCGUAGCCGACCUGAGAGGGUGAUCGGCCACAUUGGAACUGAGACACGGUCCAGACUCCUACGGGAGGCAGCAGUGGGGAAUAUUGCGCAAUGGGGGAAACCCUGACGCAGCAACGCCGCGUGAGUGAUGAAGGUCUUCGGAUUGUAAAGCUCUGUCUUUGGGGACGAUAAUGACGGUACCCAAGGAGGAAGCCACGGCUAACUACGUGCCAGCAGCCGCGGUAAUACGUAGGUGGCAAGCGUUGUCCGGAUUUACUGGGCGUAAAGAGUAUGUAGGCGGAUAUUUAAGUCAGAUGUGAAAUUCCCGGGCUUAACCUGGGCGCUGCAUUUGAAACUGGGUAUCUAGAGUGCGGGAGAGGAAAGUGGAAUUCCUAGUGUAGCGGUGAAAUGCGUAGAGAUUAGGAAGAACACCAGUGGCGAAGGCGACUUUCUGGACCGUAACUGACGCUGA